rnacentral:rRNA from 1 species
ACGGGUGAGUAACGCGUGGUCAACCUACCGUUGAGUGGGGGAUAACUAGCCGAAAGGUUAGCUAAUACCGCAUACGUCUCCGAGUGGCAUCACUUGGCGAUAAAAGGAGCAAUCCGCUCGAUGACGGGACCGCGUCCCAUUAGCUAGAUGGUGGGGUAACGGCCUACCAUGGCACCGAUGGGUAGCUGGUUUGAGAGAGCGACCAGCCACACUGGGACUGAGAAACGGCCCAG